CUUUUUUUUAGAUUGUUAUCCUCAUCUCUUUUUUCAAUUUCGGAUUUUCACUUUCUUCUUCUUCUUUUUUCAAUCUAGGGAACAAAUUCCACUUUCAUCUUCUUUAUUUCACCCAAUUUUAAUCUGAAAAAAAUCAAUAUCAUCAGAUUCAGUUUCAGAUCUGUUUUCAUUGCAUUCAAUUGAAGAGAAAAUUGGUUCCGUAUAGAAGAAUCAAAAGAAAAAUUACAAAGUUAUUGUAGAACAAAGUCCUUUACCUGAAAAAAGAAAAAAAAGUUGUGCUCAUCUGUAAAGCAGCAGAAAUCUCUUACAUAGCUCCCACCGUAGCAUCUCGCAGUCCCCGGCCCUUGCGAUUUCUCUUAGGAGGGAAAGGACUUGAAGAAGCUGCAGAUUUGCGUUUGUUCAGACUAGUUGAUAUGUCCAUGUCAUCUCCUGGAGGCUGAAACUAGAGGAGAUGUCUCCUUGAGCAAUCAUCAAUGACACACAUUGGGGUCAACAGGAACUGUCUACUUGAGCAAACAUUGAUGACACAUUGGGAUCAAUGAGCAUCAAGCAGUUUCAGCACAUUCCACCCAAAGUAUUGGAAUCCUUGAAACGAAACAGUGAACUGUAGAAUUCUCAGCAGGCCUGGCGUGACGAAACAAAAUAGCAAAGUGUGACAGCGCAACAGGCCUGGCACGACGCGACUAAUGUAACCAUCAAUAACAAUGUUAACAAUAUAUGAAAAUUUGUUAUUUUAUAAAAUUGAACAUCGUAGUACCUAAAUAAGUUCUUAUUUUCCUUUUUAAACAACAAUAGUUGUAGUACUUUCUUUGGUUUUUUGAUAUCAACAAUUCUUUUACUGUA